rnacentral:rRNA from 1 species
UACGUAGGUGGCAAGCGUUGUCCGGAUUUACUGGGCGUAAAGAGCGCGCAGGCGGUCGUUCAAGUCGAGUGUGAAAGCCCCCGGCUCAACUGGGGAGGGUCAUUCGAUACUGAUCGACUGGAAGGCAGGAGAGGGAAGCGGAAUUCCCGGUGUAGUGGUGAAAUGCGUAGAUAUCGGGAGGAACACCAGUGGCGAAGGCGGCUUCCUGGGCCAACACUGACGCUCAUGCACGAAAGCGUGGGGAGCAAACAGG